UUCCUCAGGUAGAAUAACUUGUAGGUGUGUAUUUUACAAAAUCUUCUUCCUUUUUUCCAUUUCAAGAUGAGGAAACAGGGGCUCAGAGAAGUUAAGAAGGGUGCACAUGAUCACAUAAGUGCAUGUGAGGAUGGGUCUCUGACUUCUAAAUGACCAAUGAGGAGAGCACCUUCUUCUCCCCACUCCCCACUGAUUGGACUAGUGUAAAUGCUCAUACUGAAACUCUUACAGUUGGCUCAGCAAGAGUUCCUGGAGGCACUCCUCCCUGUGUG